AAAUUGAAGAGUUUGAUCAUGGCUCAGAUUGAACGCUGGCGGCAGGCCUAACACAUGCAAGUCGAACGGUAACAGGAAGCAGCUUGCUGCUUCGCUGACGAGUGGCGGACGGGUGAGUAAUGUCUGGGAAACUGCCUGAUGGAGGGGGAUAACUACUGGAAACGGUGGCUAAUACCGCAUAACGUCGCAAGACCAAAGAGGGGGACCUUCGGGCCUCUUGCCAUCAGAUGUGCCCAGAUGGGAUUAGCUAGUUGGUGAGGUAACGGCUCACCAAGGCGACGAUCCCUAGCUGGUCUGAGAGGAUGACCAGCCACACUGGAACUGAGACACGGUCCAGACUCCUACGGGAGGCAGCAGUGGGGAAUAUUGCACAAUGGGCGCAAGCCUGAUGCAGCCAUGCCGCGUGUAUGAAGAAGGCCUUCGGGUUGUAAAGUACUUUCAGCGGGGAGGAAGGUGUUGCGGUUAAUAACCGCAGCAAUUGACGUUACCCGCAGAAGAAGCACCGGCUAACUCCGUGCCAGCAGCCGCGGUAAUACGGAGGGUGCGAGCGUUAAUCGGAAUUACUGGGCGUAAAGCGCACGCAGGCGGUCUGUCAAGUCGGAUGUGAAAUCCCCGGGCUCAACCUGGGAACUGCAUUCGAAACUGGCAGGCUUGAGUCUUGUAGAGGGGGGUAGAAUUCCAGGUGUAGCGGUGAAAUGCGUAGAGAUCUGGAGGAAUACCGGUGGCGAAGGCGGCCCCCUGGACAAAGACUGACGCUCAGGUGCGAAAGCGUGGGGAGCAAACAGGAUUAGAUACCCUGGUAGUCCACGCCGUAAACGAUGUCUACUUGGAGGUUGUGCCCUUGAGGCGUGGCUUCCGGAGCUAACGCGUUAAGUAGACCGCCUGGGGAGUACGGCCGCAAGGUUAAAACUCAAAUGAAUUGACGGGGGCCCGCACAAGCGGUGGAGCAUGUGGUUUAAUUCGAUGCAACGCGAAGAACCUUACCUGGUCUUGACAUCCACAGAAGAAUCCAGAGAUGGAUUGGUGCCUUCGGGAACUGUGAGACAGGUGCUGCAUGGCUGUCGUCAGCUCGUGUUGUGAAAUGUUGGGUUAAGUCCCGCAACGAGCGCAACCCUUAUCCUUUGUUGCCAGCGGUUAGGCCGGGAACUCAAAGGAGACUGCCAGUGAUAAACUGGAGGAAGGUGGGGAUGACGUCAAGUCAUCAUGGCCCUUACGACCAGGGCUACACACGUGCUACAAUGGCGCAUACAAAGAGAAGCGACCUCGCGAGAGCAAGCGGACCUCAUAAAGUGCGUCGUAGUCCGGAUUGGAGUCUGCAACUCGACUCCAUGAAGUCGGAAUCGCUAGUAAUCGUGGAUCAGAAUGCCACGGUGAAUACGUUCCCGGGCCUUGUACACACCGCCCGUCACACCAUGGGAGUGGGUUGCAAAAGAAGUAGGUAGCUUAACCUUCGGGAGGGCGCUUACCACUUUGUGAUUCAUGACUGGGGUGAAGUCGUAACAAGGUAACCGUAGGGGAACCUGCGGUUGGAUCACCUCCUUACCUUAAAGAAGC
rnacentral:rRNA from 2 species